rnacentral:rRNA from 1 species
CACGUAGGGGGCGAGCGUUGUCCGGAGUUACUGGGCGUAAAGAGCUCGUAGGUGGUUCGGUAAGUCGGGUGUUAAACCCCCAGGCUCAACCUGGGGACGCCACUCGAUACUGCUGUGACUAGAGUCCGGUAGGGGAGCGUGGAAUUCCUGGUGUAGCGGUGAAAUGCGCAGAUAUCAGGAGGAACACCAGCGGCGAAGGCGGCGCUCUGGGCCGGUACUGACACUGAGGAGCGAAAGCGUGGGUAGCAAACAGG